GCCCUCGUAGCUCAGCUGGAUAGAGCACAGGUUUCCUAAACCUGGGGUCAUAGGUUCAAAUCCUAUCGGGGGCA
rnacentral:tRNA from 1 species